UACGUAGGUGGCAAGCGUUGUCCGGAAUUAUUGGGCGUAAAGCGCGCGCAGGCGGUCCUUUAAGUCUGAUGUGAAAGCCCACGGCUCAACCGUGGAGGGUCAUUGGAAACUGGGGGACUUGAGUACAGAAGAGAAGAGUGGAAUUCCACGUGUAGCGGUGAAAUGCGUAGAGAUGUGGAGGAACACCAGUGGCGAAGGCGACUCUUUGGUCUGUAACUGACGCUGAGGCGCGAAAACGUGGGGAGCAAACAGG
rnacentral:rRNA from 1 species